AUACGGAGGAUCCGAGCGUUAUCCGGAUUUAUUGGGUUUAAAGGGAGCGUAGGUGGACAGUUAAGUCAGUUGUGAAAGUUUGCGGCUCAACCGUAAAAUUGCAGUUGAUACUGGUUUCCUUGAGUACGGUAUAGGUGGGCGGAAUUCGUGGUGUAGCGGUGAAAUGCCUAGAUAUCACGAAGAACUCCGAUCGCGAAGGCAGCUCACCGGGCCGGAACUGACACUGAUGCUCGAAAGUGCGGGUAUCAAACAGGAUUAGAUACCCUGGUAGUCCGCACAGUAAACGAUGAAUACUCGCUGUUUGCGAUACACUGUAAGCGGCCAAGCGAAAGCGUUAAGUAUUCCACCUGGGGAGUACGCCGGCAACGGUGAAACUCAAAUGAAUUGGCGGGG
rnacentral:rRNA from 1 species